rnacentral:rRNA from 1 species
UACGUAGGGUGCGAGCGUUGUCCGGAAUUAUUGGGCGUAAAGGGCUCGUAGGCGGCCAACUAAGUCGGAUGUGAAAUCCCCAGGCUUAACUUGGGAACUGCAUCCGAUACUGGAUGGCUUGAAUCCGGGAGAGGGAUGCGGAAUUCCAGGUGUAGCGGUGAAAUGCGUGGAUAUCUGGAGGAACACCGGUGGCGAAGGCGGCAUCCUGGACCGGCAUUGACGCUGAUGAGCGAAAGCCAGGGGAGCAAACGGG